rnacentral:rRNA from 1 species
UACGUAGGGUGCAAGCGUUGUCCGGAAUUAUUGGGCGUAAAGAGCUCGUAGGCGGUUUGUCGCGUCGGCUGUGAAAACUCGGGGCUCAACUCCGAGCUUGCAGUCGAUACGGGCUGACUGGAGUUCGGCAGGGGAGACUGGAAUUCCUGGUGUAGCGGUGAAAUGCGCAGAUAUCAGGAGGAACACCGGUGGCGAAGGCGGGUCUCUGGGCCGAUACUGACGCUGAGGAGCGAAAGCGUGGGAGCGAACAGG